GAAGAGCUUUCCCUGGCCACAGCAGCAUGGUGUGGACAGUGGGUGAGCAGCAGACAGGUCCUGCCCAUUUAUACACACCCUGGCAGCUGUGCCGUGAGCCUGGAGCACGCUCUCGCCUCUCUUGCCCAGCCUGGCCAUGGCUGCUUCACAAGACAGACCUAUCUGCGUUGAAGGCUGGGGAUUUCGAUGAUUGGGGAGUUUUAUGUCCCCUACCCAGUCCUGUCCCAACCCUCCCUCACAUCUUACACUGUGAGUCUGCCUCUCCCAGGAGGAGUCUCUCAUUAAGGUCUGGGGCUGGCCAAUGAGGCAGGGUUGCCUAGCUGUGCAGUGAGCUCCUGGGACCUGUCAGAACCGGAACCACAGACAGACAUGUGCCACUCAGAGUCAGAACCACAGACAUGUGCCACUCAGAGUCGGAACCACAGACAUGUGCCACUAUGCCUGGUUGUUUACACAGGCUCUGGAGAUCGACCUCGAGUCCUCGGUUUUUCGAGGCAAGCAUUUUAUAGAUUGAGCUCCCUCAGCCUCAACAGACACAGGAUUUUAAAACAGGGUGUCGUCAUCACAUUAACCCUUCGAGGGAGGUUUUGUCAUACUCCAUUUAAUACGCAACCAUUUUAAGGGUCAUGACUGAGAGACCUGUGGGAGGCUACAACCCAAGCUGGCUAGUGAUGGAUUUAAGCUACGUCUUCUAUGAAGAAGCAGCUGAGACAAUGCGUCCUUGAGGAGUCAGGUAGUCUCCUCUGGCCCUUCUACCUCCCUUCUCACCUUCGUCAUUGAUGUAGGCCUCCCAGUCAAAGGUAGAGUUGCCGGCCCAGCUCUCCUGGCUGUUCCAAGUGUCAUUGAUGUACCAAGUGUCAUUGCCGUACCAAGUGUCAUUGCUGUACCAAGUGUCAUUGCCAUACCACGUGGUGUUGGUGUCAUUCAUGGGCGGGGGCCAACGCACGCACUUCUGACGCAGGUUUCCCAUGAAAAGCUGCAGCCCCACCAGGGCAAAGACACUCAGGCAGAAGACAGUGAGGAUCAUCACAUCCGACAGCUUUUUCACAGACUGGAUCAGGGCUCCCACAAUUGUCUUCAGCCCUGGUCACAGGGAGGGCGAAAGCAUCAGCAGGGGUAAGGGUGGGGUGGUGGGGGACUCCUGCUCUGAGAUUCAGCCAGCCCCAUCUCUGAGGCUGGUUUCACUCCUCACAGCUUCUUCCCCAAAGCCUCCCUAUAGCAACCCUAAGCACUUCCCCCAUGUGGAGCUGGGCUUUGCCCAUAGAAGAAUGGCCUCUAAGAGUCAAUGGGCUGCUGCCUGACCCUCAGAACUACACAAAAGCACACAGAGAAAUUUAAUAGAUGUCACUAGGUUAGCACUUCCAAAGUGUGUUCUCAAGACCGUCCCUCAUCUCACCGUGCCCUUAAGGAAAAGGAGAAGCCACCAUGUUAGGGAAAGGGAGUACCCUAGAGUCCAUUAACGAUGAAUUCCCAAAGACCAAUGGGGUUCACUCCGAGAAUCUCUAGAAUGAUUUUGAAAAAUCAGUGUCUGCAUGCAAAACAGGGGCAACACAGCCUUUAAUCCCAGUGCUCAGGAGGCAGAGGCAGGGGGAUCUCUGAAUUUGAGGCUAGCCCGGUCUACAGAGCAAGUUCUAGGACAGCCAGGGCUACACGAAGAAACCCUGUCUCAAAAACAAAACAAAACAAACAAAUCUCCCCCCCCCCCCAAAACAUUUUUGGAUAGACAUUUGUUCCACUGCACACAAAGGUAAAAAACAAUCCUGAUGUAAUUCUGCCCCAGGGCAGAUUUCUGCCAUUGAAGGAAGUCACAGCUUCCUUCUUGGAUCUGCUCAUUCAUUUCUCCCUUCUUUUCCUGUCACGGAAACCAGAUGCUCCACAUUCCCCUUUGAGAGCCCUCCUGAGUGCUGAAGGUGCAGAAGAGGAAGGCAUUUAGCGAACUCCAUUAGUGCUGCGUGUCUCACGGGCCUCCGAUGCAUGGAAGGGCUCUGGACUCUCGAAGAUGGCCAUACGUCCUGGCAUAAGGACUGAGCUGUUUCUCUCCUCCACAGCCCACUCGCCUUCCUUUUGUGGUAAUUGGACCUCCCUGUGUGAACUGUUUACAGGCUCUAGCUCAGCUUUUGGCUGCUGGGAUACACCCAGGACCUCACAAUGCAAAGCAAGGAGAAAUCAAUCGAGUUACACCUUCUGCUGUCUGCGGGUGGUGUAUGCAUACAUGUAUAUGAGUAUGCAUACAUGUACAUGAGUAUGCAUAGAUACCUAUGUGUGCAUGUGUAUAUUGUUUGAGGCUGAGUCUCUAGAUAGAGCACAGGAUGGUCUCAAACUUGGAAUCUUUUUGGUCUCUCUCAUGCUAAGAUCACAGGUAUGGAGUCACUCACCAUGCUGGAGUUUUUUGCAGAGCUGUGUGACUCAUUCUUCUUUUUAUUAAAAAGAAAAGAUUCA